GACGUCGAACUUCCUUUGCCCAAACAUGGAGCGAGCCGACGCGCCGCUCGCUCGGUGCUCGACAAGACGACACGUUUUAUGAUCGAAUAUGUAUCUGAUGUUUCUCCACAGAUCGCUUAUGUUUGUCUUUGUCAGUCCGGCUCGUCUGCAGCAGAGAGGGAGGCGAAAACAAUCGUGUGGCUAAUGGAGGCGAUAUAAGAUUGUGAUUCAGAAGUCAGAUCUACAGACAUGAAGACGUCACUAACACUAUUGUAAUGUUCAUUUUACAAUUAAACUAGGUGAGUUCAUCA